GCCAGUGUUAUUUUCUUAACCCACAUAAUGGCUUAUUAGUUGUAAUCUAAGUUGGGGCUCCAAUGGGCAAUUGCCUUGGCAUCUGCCAGUACAAGCUGAACAAAAACCUCAUUCAGUAGCAUUCUCAGCAAAAUUAGGGCCAAGGCCCCGAAAGCGAAAAGACGCUACCCUACAGGAAAACGGAGAAGCCAAGAGCUUCAUCAGUGUCCUGAAUAAGAAAACUACGACAUUCCGCUAUUGGAAGGUACAACAAAUGCAUCCCAACACCAAACACAUGCGCCAACUUAGCUAAGCAAUCUGCCACUAAAUUCGUCGCUGCACCUACCUAUGUGGUGGUGGUGGUUAUGAGUCGGUGACUUAAAGAAGAAGAAAGAUGGCACUGUGGCUUCACGAUGAAAGGGCAGGGAAUACGACAUCAGAGACGGCUUUAUGAUUGAGAUUAACAGCGACUGUGAUGGUCGAAGAUAGCUUCACAGGUGAGAGUGAGAAGGGAGAGAGAUGUUGGAUGAGUGAUAACAACUCACCUAGAUGA